AUCUCUGUAGCAAUUUUUAAAUGUGUUAAGGAGUGGGGUGUUGACAACAAGAUAUAUUCGAUUUGAUAAUGCAUCAAAUAAUGAUGUAGCAGUGCAACUUUUGAAGAAUGACUUGGCAAGAUCGAGAAAGUUAGUAUGUCGAGGAAAAUUGUUUCACGUACGUUGUUGUACUCAUAUCUUGAACCUCAUGGUUCAAGAUGGCCUCGGUGAGAUUGAAGACAUCAUAGAAAAUAUUAGAGAUAGUGUGGAAUUUGUGGGCAGGUCUGAUGUUCGGACUCUUCUAUUUGCUAAAAUUGCACGGCAACUACAAAUACCUGGAAAAUCUCUAAUCCAUGAUUGUAGGACUAGGUGGAACUCGACAUAUGAGAUGCUCAGUUGUGCUAUCAAGCUCAAGGAAGUCUUUCCACGCUACCAAGAUAGAGAGCCGCGCUAUGAUUGUUGUUCAUCUGAUGAGGAAUGGGAGAAAGUUGAAAAGUCUAUGGUAUAUUAGAGACUUUCUGGACUAUCACUCAUAUAAUCUCUGGCAGUGAAUAUCCGACAAGCAAUUUAUUUCUUCAGGAGAUUGUUAAGGUGAAGAGACUUCUAGAUUCAAAAGUGAAUGACGGUGAUGACUUUAUACGAGCAAUGGUGCGAAGAAUGAAAAAUAAAUUUGACAAAUAUUAGGGUGAAUGCAACCUAUUGAUGGCAAUUGCUGCAAUUUUGGAUCCAAGGCAGAAAAUGCAUGUUUUAGAGUUUGUCUUCCCAAAAAUAUAUUCAGCUCUUGAAUGUUAAGAAAAUAUUACCAAAGUCCAAAAAACUCUAUUUGAAAUGUAUAAAGAAUAUGUCUCAGCGGUUGUUAGUUCAAGUGGAUCUACAAUUGAGUCCUAGCAUGGAGCAUCUCAAGGGAAUCAAACUUUUGAUUGGGAUGAUGACUUUGAUGAAUAUUGCGAAAAAGUAGAGACUUUGGAGCCUCGCAAAUCUGAAUUGCAAGAUUAUGUUGAUAAACCUCGUCGAACAACUGCAACCGGCUCAAAAUCAUUUGAUUGCUUAGAGUGGUGAAAAGUCAAUAGUAUCUCGUACUCGAUAUUGUCUCAAACGGCCUGUGAUAUCUUGGCCAUUCCUAAAACUACAGUAGCAUCCAAGGCAACCUUUAGUGUUGGCACUAGAGUCGUUGAUCCCUAUCGAGCUGUGUUGGCUCCGAAAACAGUUCAAGUCCUUACGUGUGGUGGAAAUUGGUGUAGAUAUUUUCAUGGGAUCAAAAAGAAAUCAAGACAGCCAAAGAGUACCAAAAUAAUUGAGCUGCCACAAGUUUGAUAUCCAGCUUUGGGUGUAGUUAGGAGUUGAUCAUGGUUAGAUGGCUGAAAGCUGGAUUGGAUGGCUGCUUUACAGGGACAUUUUUGCCGCUGCCUUUGUUUUUGCUCAUUUGCUGCUUUAUCUAUGAAGUUGUUUGGGUGCUACAAUAUUAUCUUGUGUAGACUUGCAAGUUUUAGGUUGCUAUAGCAGUAAAUUACUUUUGUUUUGGACAGUUUGUUGCCACUUACAUGCUUGAAAUUGUUUUGGUGCUGGCUUGCUACUAAAAUAUUGUCUUGUGUAAGACUUGCAAGUUGUAGGCUGUUGUGGUAGUAAAUUACUCUUGUUUUGGGCUAUUAUUUUCAUGCUAGCUAUUUGGCUGUUAAAUGUUAA